AAAAAAGAAAUAGCAACAAAGACUACAAUAUCAGAUGAUGACCGAACUUCCUAUCAGAUAGAAACCGAUCCAGAUGUUAGAUACCACCAUCAUGAGGAUUUUGAUCUCAUAUAUGUUAAAUUAAUCUGAGAUUCAAACUGAGGUGACACCUCAGCGCUACGUUGCUCUCAAGCUACUAUCCAUCUUAACAGCGAGGUCAACUUGCUAUAAACUCCUAAUGACUUUUAGAAUAUGGACAACUGGCAUCCACUACUAGCAACCAUAAUUUGCAGGUUAGUGGACAGAUUCUGUAUCCCAAUAGUCUACCAGAUCAGGACUUAACAACCUAACAAGUCAGGAUCUAACGGUCUACUGAAUUUAGGCAUAAUAAUCUAUAGCUCUAUCUCUAUAUAAAGAAGUAACUAGGUAUCCUAAAGUAAGCAAGCACGUACACAAAGAAUAGUGCCCACACUCCCACGCUCGUCCAUCUCCUCUUCUUUUUUCUUUGUUUUCAAGCUUUGACUAAUUUAAGCAUCGAAAGAUUUCAUAUUAGAGCACCUCCGAUGGGUGCGGACUUCCAUUAUAAAUUUUUAAAGAAGAAAGUACUUUUUAAUCAGGCCCGAGCUCCACAUCGGCAGGUGACCGGUGUCAAUCCGAAGACUUGCACAGCAUAUAAAAAUUUUAAUCAGAGCUAACCAACCAAUUUAGCUUAUGUCUAUUGUCUUAUGUCUAUUGUCUAAAGAAACUCUAACAAAACUAUAUAGGAAAAAAUGUAGGCAAAACAUGUCAUAGC
rnacentral:lncRNA from 1 species